UACGUAGGGGGCAAGCGUUGUCCGGAAUCAUUGGGCGUAAAGCGCGCGUAGGCGGCUCGGUAAGUCCGUUGUGAAAGUCAAAGGCUCAACCUUUGAAUGCCGAUGGAUACUGUCGAGCUAGAGUCCGGAAGAGGCGAGUGGAAUUCCUGGUGUAGCGGUGAAAUGCGUUGAUAUCAGGAGGAACACCCAUGGCGAAGGCAGCAAACUGGCCGGCAUCUGACGCUGAGGCGCGAAAGCGUGGGUAGCAAACAGG
rnacentral:rRNA from 1 species